rnacentral:rRNA from 1 species
UACGGAGGGGGCUAGCGUUGUUCGGAAUUACUGGGCGUAAAGCGCACGUAGGCGGAUCGAUCAGUCAGGGGUGAAAUCCCAGGGCUCAACCCUGGAACUGCCUUUGAUACUGUCGAUCUGGAGUAUGGAAGAGGUGAGUGGAAUUCCGAGUGUAGAGGUGAAAUUCGUAGAUAUUCGGAGGAACACCAGUGGCGAAGGCGGCUCACUGGUCCAUUACUGACGCUGAGGCGCGAAAGCGUGGGGAGCAAACAGG